GAGUUUGAUCCUGGCUCAGGAUGAACGCUGGCGGCGUGCUUAACACAUGCAAGUCGAACGCUCUUCGGAGAGUGGCGGACGGGUGAGUAACGCGUGAGAAUCUGCCUUCAGGAGGGGGACAACAGUUGGAAACGACUGCUAAUACCCCAUAUGCCUACGGGUGAAAAGGAUACCGCCUGGAGAUGAGCUCGCGUCGGAUUAGCUAGUUGGUGGGGUAAAGGCCUACCAAGGCGACGAUCCGUAGCUGGUCUGAGAGGAUGAUCAGCCACACUGGGACUGAGACACGGCCCAGACUCCUACGGGAGGCAGCAGUGGGGAAUUUUCCGCAAUGGGCGAAAGCCUGACGGAGCAACGCCGCGUGCGGGAUGACGGCCUGUGGGUUGUAAACCGCUUUUCUCAGGGAAGAAGAUCUGACGGUACCUGAGGAAUCAGCAUCGGCUAACUCCGUGCCAGCAGCCGCGGUAAUACGGAGGAUGCAAGCGUUAUCCGGAAUUAUUGGGCGUAAAGCGUCCGCAGGCGGCUUAUCAAGUCUGCUGUUAAAGUUCGGGGCUCAACUCCGGUUCGGCAGUGGAAACUGAUAGGCUAGAGUACGGUAGGGGUAGAGGGAAUUCCCAGUGUAGCGGUGAAAUGCGUAGAUAUU
rnacentral:rRNA from 1 species